UCUCCGUUGGUGAACCAGCGGAGGGAUCAUUACUGAGACUUAUCUCAUAACCCUUUGUGAACCUUUAUAACCUGUUGCUUCGGCGGCGCGGCCCCCGGGUCGUGCCCGCCGGUAUCAUCAGAAUCUCUGUUCGAACCCGACGAUACUUCUGAGUGUUCUAAGCGAACUGUUAAAACUUUCAACAACGGAUCUCUUGGCUCCA
rnacentral:misc_RNA from 1 species